AAUACAUGAAUCCUUCAUAUAUCCUCGGUAAUAUGGUCCGAGAGUCUCUACCGAAUCACCUUAAAUGAUUUGACUAUGAAGGCAGGAU
rnacentral:ncRNA from 1 species